rnacentral:rRNA from 1 species
CACCUCUAGCAUUUUAAGUAUUAGAGGCAUUGCCUGCCCAGUGACUAUAGUUUAACGGCCGCGGUAUCCUGACCGUGCAAAGGUAGCAUAAUCAUUUGUUCCUUAAUUAGGGACUAGUAUGAACGGCUAGACGAGGGAUCAACUGUCUCUUAUUUUCAAUCAGUGAAAUUGACCUUCCAGUGAAGAGGCUGGAAUCUAACAAUAAGACGAGAAGACCCUAUGGAGCUUAAAUUAACAAGCUUAAUUAUUAUUAUUUUAAUACCCUAAUGGCACAAAACAAAAAAUUUAAGCUUAAAAUUUUGGUUGGGGUGACCUCGGAGAAUAAAAGAUCCUCCGAAAGAUUAUAACAUAGACCUACAAGUCAAAGUAAUUUAAUUAUCCAAUUGACCCAAAAAUUGAUCAACGGACCAAGUUACCCUAGGGAUAACAGCGCAAUCCUAUUUAAGAGUCCAUAUCGACAAUAGGGUUUACGACCUCGAUGUUGGAUCAGGACAUCCCAAUGGUGCAGAAGCUAUUAAUGGUUCGUUUGUUCAACGAUUAAAGUCC